AUUUUAUAUACAGUAUACCUAAUACUCGCUCAGCUGUUUAUUAACAGAUGAUUCAACAUGAAAUCAUGUUUCCCACAAAAAAUUAAAUCCCUUGUUUUUGUAAUUUAAAUUUUCUUUUUUUAUAAAUGAACUGCCUUACCCACCUGCGUUUAAAUUAAUAUUUCCGUUAAACUGUUGAAACUUAAAAGUGCUCUCUACCAAUCUCUCUCUAGGCAACACUUUGUUUUUGCCAAUUGCAAAAGCAAAUUCACUAAAUUGAGCGGCACAUUCUGUUUUUAUUUAUUACUUUGCCUUUGCUUCUAUCUCUGCAUUUCUAUAUUGCUCUCAAUUUGUUUGCGCUAGUGUUUAGUUUAUUCGCAGACAAGGCGAAUUUAAAUAAAUCCGCCUGUUCAGAGAAUUCUGGCGGUGGCGAAAAAAGCUGCUGAUCAACGAAUAGCAAUAAGCUCAAAGUUGCCACUCUCGGAUAAAUAAUUAAAUAAUUGUGUUAAUAUAAAAAUAUGCAUGAAAUUAGCAGCAACUUAACAAAUACAAAUUCCUCAACAGCUUUAACGACGUAUUCUGUUAAUUUACAACGACAUAAGUCAUAGAGAAAAUUGAUAAGAGCACUUAUUAGUGGUCAAAUCUCGUGUUUUAUGCCACAUAAUGGCGCAUUAAUUUCACCUGCACUACAUCUGGCAACGCAAAAUUGUGGCCGGUCUGAACAUAAACACAACAACAAUUCGUUAACUAGUUUUUCUCUGAGGUUGGUACGCUUCUUUGUUUGCAAAGUUCGCCGCUCAGAUCCGACUUUUUCGUUUGUGUUUUUGUUGUGUGAAGUUGCAUAUGGUUUGUUUUGUUUUUCUGUAGUUGUGCUUUUGCACUUUUCUCCAUCAUCAUCUUCUGCCGUCAUCUGCUCAUAUAAAAUGUCUGCGCAGCGUACUCUUUGAAAUUACUUUGUCGUUGAAUUUGUACUCGUUAAUAGAUCGGUGCAGUUGAAUAGCUUUUUUAAUUAAUUGAAAGCCUCUGACUUGUGUGAUUAAUUUUGAAUUUGAAUUUAAAUUUAUUCAAAGAAAAUCCCAGCGUUGAUCGCAGUUAUUACAGUGCGUUUAGUGCCUUUCUUUUAGUAAAAGUAGAAACCCAAAGUUGUGAAAUACAAAGCGUUUAAAAGAUUCUUGUAUGAAAGAACAAGUAUAACUAAGUGUUGCAGGAUUUAUUGCAUGUACAUUUGUAAUUGCAAAUUUUACAAGUUAAAUUCUUCGUUCUAUAAGGAGCUUUUACCAAUUGGAUUAAACUUUUUUCGAUAUUUCCCCGUUUUUACCCGCAAAACAAACAACACGGCACUUUGCACUUUGCCUUUAAACGUCUAUUUCUGUUUAAAAAAUUAUUAGUUGCCUAAAGUGAAAAAAAAUAUAUAUCAAAAAAUUUCAAACUCAACAACAAAUUCAAACUCAACGAGCUAAGAAGAAUAAGCGUAUAUUUUUAAAUUAAAAUCGAUUUCAAAUCUUCUCAAAUCCA